UGCCAGCAGCCGCGGUAAGACGAACCGUCCGAACGUUAUUCGGUAUCACUGGGCUUAAAGAGUUCGUAGGCGGCCAUGUAGGUCAGGUGUGAAAUCCCACAGCUCAACUGUGGAACUGCGCUUGAAACCACUUGGCUUGAGGGAGAUAGAGGUGAGCGGAACAGAUGGUGGAGCGGUGAAAUGCGUUGAUAUCAUCUGGAACACCGGUGGCGAAAGCGGCUCACUGGGUCUUUACUGACGCUGAGGCACGAAAGCUAGGGGAGCAAACAGGAUUAGAUA
rnacentral:rRNA from 1 species